CAAGCAGCCGCGGUAAUUCCAGCUCCAAUAGCGUAUACUAAAGUUGUUGCGGUUAAAAAGCUCGUAGUUGGAUCUUGGAAUGUGUUCAAGCGGGUCAGCUUCUGGCUGUGCGCUGCUUGACGUGUUCUUCUAUUUGGUUUUGGUGCGGUGCGCUUAACUGCGUGUCGCUCCCGGCCGAAACGUUUACCUUGAAAAAAUUAGAGUGUUCAAAGCAGACCUGUUUGAGUCUGAAUAUUCGUGCAUGGAAUAAUGAAAUAUGAAUUCGGUUCUAUUUUGUUGGUUUUCGGAACUCGAGUUAAUGAUCAAGAGGGACAGACGGGGGCAUUCGUACUCUGCCGUUAGAGGUGAAAUUCUUGGAUCGGCGGAAGACGCGCAACUGCGAAAGCAUUUGCCAAGAAUGUUUUCUUUAAUCAAGAACGAUAGUCGGAGGUUCGAAGACGAUCAGAUACCGUCCUAGUUUCGACUGUAAACUAUGCCAGCUAACGAUCAGACAGAGUUCUCUACGACUUGUCUGGCAGUUUCCGGGAAACCAAAGCGUUUGGGUUCCGGGGGAAGUAUGGUUGCAAAGCUGAAACUUAAAGGAAUUGACGGAAGGGCACCACCAGGAGUGGAGCCUGCGGCUUAAUUUGACUCAACACGGGGAAACUCACCCGGCCCGGACACAGUGAGGAUUGACAGAUUGAGAGUUCUUUCUUGAUUCUGUGGGUGGUGGUGCAUGGCCGUUCUUAGUUGGUGGAGCGAUUUGUCUGGUUAAUUCCGAUAACGAACGAGACACUGGCAUGUUAAAUAGUCGCGGAAGUGCGUAUGCACUUGCCGAAUUGACUUCUUAGAGGGACUAGUGAUUUUAAUUCACACGAGAUUGAGCAAUAACAGGUCUGUGAUGCCAAGGCGAUCGGUUAACUUGCAAGGA
rnacentral:rRNA from 1 species